GACGAACGCUGGCGGCGUGCUUAACACAUGCAAGUCGAACGGUGAACCGCUUUCGGGCGGGGAUCAGUGGCGAACGGGUGAGUAACACGUGGGUAACCUGCCCUCCACUCUGGGAUAACUCCGGGAAACCGGGGCUAAUACCGGAUACGACCUGAGGCGGCAUCGCCUCGGGUGGAAAGUUUUUCGGUGGAGGAUGGACCCGCGGCCUAUCAGCUUGUUGGUGGGGUAAUGGCCUACCAAGGCGAUGACGGGUAGCCGGCCUGAGAGGGCGACCGGC
rnacentral:rRNA from 1 species